rnacentral:lncRNA from 1 species
AUCACAUUAUCAUAUCCUCAACCAAUCAAAUUGUAUCCCUAGGAUUCACCAAUCCUAUUAAAGAUUUUUUUUCAAAAAAAUUUCACUAUACUUUUUUCUUAAAAAAAGAGAUUUGAUUAAUUUGAGACAUAGAUAGAUACUGUCGUACAACCGCAGUAUAGAAAACCACCUCCUAUAGUUGAGCGGAUCUUCAUGCAUGUACGGAUGUCAGUGGGUCGGAUUUUCAAAAGUCCGAACAUGAACUCGACUACCAAACCGAAAAUUCGAACAUGAAUCCGAAUCCAGCGUAUUUUAAAAAUUCAUAUCCAAAUCUGAACCCGACCAAAAAUUCGAAACCCAAACCCAGAAACUCGCACCCGAAACAAGUAUUGCUCUUUAUAAUAUUUCAUAACAUAUUAUAUAAAAUUUAAAAUUUUUAAAUAUAAAUUCAAAUAUAAGAUCACACACACACACACAUCAAAUCCGUCAAAACAAAAUUCAUACGCGAAUCCAAAUCCGUCGAAUUUUUAUUUUUUAUAUCUUUAUUCGAAACUAAAUCUAUUUAGCAUCAUAUAAAAUCUUUUCUACUCGAAUUCAAAUUAAAAUUUAAAUAAAAUUUUAAAUAUCUGUACCCAUCGACAUCUCUAUAUGCU